GAUGAACGCUGGCGGCGUGCCUAAUACAUGCAAGUCGAGCGAACGGACGAGAAGCUUGCCUCUCUGAUGUUAGCGGCGGACGGGUGAGUAACACGUGGAUAACCUACCUAUAAGACUGGGAUAACUUCGGGAAACCGGAGCUAAUACCGGAUAAUAUUUUGAACCGCAUGGUUCAAAAGUGAAAGACGGUCUUGCUGUCACUUAUAGAUGGAUCCGCGCUGCAUUAGCUAGUUGGUAAGGUAACGGCUUACCAAGGCAACGAUGCAUAGCCGACCUGAGAGGGUGAUCGGCCACACUGGAACUGAGACACGGUCCAGACUCCUACGGGAGGCAGCAGUAGGGAAUCUUCCGCAAUGGGCGAAAGCCUGACGGAGCAACGCCGCGUGAGUGAUGAAGGUCUUCGGAUCGUAAAACUCUGUUAUUAGGGAAGAACAUAUGUGUAAGUAACUGUGCACAUCUUGACGGUACCGAAUCAGAAAGCCACGGCUAACUACGU
rnacentral:rRNA from 1 species